rnacentral:rRNA from 1 species
GAUGAACGCUGGCGGCGUGCCUAAUACAUGCAAGUCGAGCGAACGGACGAGAAGCUUGCGUCUCUGAUGUUAGCGGCGGACGGGUGCGUAACACGUGGAUAACCUACCUAUAAGACUGGGAUAACUUCGGGAAACCGGAGCUAAUACCGGAUAAUAUUUUGAACCGCAUGGUUCAAAAGUGAAAGACGGUCUUGCUGUCACUUAUAGAUGGAUCCGCGCUGCAUUAGCUAGUUGGUAAGGUAACGGCUUACCAAGGCAACGAUGCAUAGCCGACCUGAGAGGGAGCACGGGCACACUGGAACUGAGACCCGGUCCAGCCUCCUACGGGAGGCAGCAGUAGGGACUCUUCCGGGAUGCGCGGAAGCCUGACGGAGCAACGCCGCGUGAGUGAUGAAGGUCUUCGGCGCGUAAAACUCUGUUAUUAGGGUAGAACAUAUGUGUAAGUAACUGUGCACAUCUUGACGGUACCUAAUCAGAAAGCCACGGCUAACUACGUG